GAUGAACGCUAGCUACAGGCUUAACACAUGCAAGUCGAGGGGCAGCACAGUGUAGCAAUACAUGGGUGGCGACCGGCGCACGGGUGCGUAACGCGUAUCCAACCUUCCCGUUACUCUUGGAUAGCCUUCCGAAAGGGAGAUUAAUACAAGAUGGUAUUCAAAUUCCGCAUGUUAUUUGAAUUAAAGAUUUAUCGGUAACGGAUGGGGAUGCGUGACAUUAGAUAGUAGGCGGGGUAACGGCCCACCUAGUCUACGAUGUCUAGGGGUUCUGAGAGGAAGGUCCCCCACACUGGAACUGAGACAGGUCCAGAACUCCUACGGGAGGCAGCAGUGGGGAAUAUUGGGC
rnacentral:rRNA from 1 species